rnacentral:rRNA from 1 species
UGAGGAAUAUUGGACAAUGGGCGAGAGCCUGAUCCAGCCAUGCCGCGUGCAGGAAGACUGCCCUAUGGGUUGUAAACUGCUUUUAUACAGGAAGAAACCUUUUCACGUGUGAAAAGCUGACGGUACUGUAAGAAUAAGGAUCGGCUAACUCCGUGCCAGCAGCCGCGGUAAUACGGAGGAUCCAAGCGUUAUCCGGAAUCAUUGGGUUUAAAGGGUCCGUAGGUGGAUAAUUAAGUCAGGGGUGAAAGUUUGCAGCUCAACUGUAAAAUUGCCUUUGAUACUGGUUAUCUUGAAUUAUUGUGAAGUGGUUAGAAUAUGUAGUGUAGCGGUGAAAUGCAUAGAUAUUACAUAGAAUACCAAUUGCGAAGGCAGAUCACUAACAAUAUAUUGACACUGAUGGACGAAAGCGUGGGGAGUGAACA